UACAGAGGUGGCAAGCGUUGUUCGGAAUUACUGGGCGUAAAGGGCGCGUAGGCGGUCGGGCAAGUCCUGUGUGAAAUCCCUCGGCUCAACUGAGGAACUGCACGGGAAACUGCUCGACUUGAGUUCGGGAGAGGGAAGCGGAAUUCCGGGUGUAGCGGUGAAAUGCGCAGAUAUCAGGAGGAACACCGGUGGCGAAGGCGGAUCUCUGGGCCAUUACUGACGCUGAGGAGCGAAAGCGUGGGGAGCGAACAGG
rnacentral:rRNA from 1 species